rnacentral:rRNA from 1 species
GACGAACGCUGGCGGCGUGCUUAACACAUGCAAGUCGAGCGGUAAGGCCCUUUCGGGGGUACACGAGCGGCGAACGGGUGAGUAACACGUGGGUGACCUGCCCUCAGCUCUGGGAUAAGCCUGGGAAACCGGGUCUAAUACUGGAUAUGACUCCAUGACGCAUGUUGUGGGGUGGAAAGCCUUGUGCGGCUGAGGAUGGGCCCGCGGCCUAUCAGCUUGUUGGUGGGGUGANGGCCUACCAAGGCGACGACGGGUAGCCGGCCUGAGAGGGCGACCGGCCACACUGGGACUGAGACACGGCCCAGACUCCUACGGGAGGCAGCAGUGGGGAAUCUUGCGCAAGUGGGCGAAAGCCUGACGCAGCGACGCCGCGUGAGGGAUGACGG